rnacentral:rRNA from 1 species
ACUGAAUAGAUACCCAGGUAGUCCACGCUGUAAACGAUGAAUACUAGGUGUUGGAUACAUUAGUAUCCAGUGCCGCAGCUAACGCAUUAAGUAUUCCACCUGGGGAGUACGAUCGCAAGGUUGAAACUCAAAGGAAUUGACGGGGGCCCGCACAAGCAGUGGAGCAUGUGGUUUAAUUCGAUGCAACGCGAAGAACCUUACCUAGGCUUGAAAGGCAAGUGACCGACUGUGAAAGCAGUCUUCCCGCAAGGGCACUUGUACAGGUGCUGCAUGGCUGUCGUCAGCUCGUGCCGUGAGGUGUUGGGUUUAAGUCUCGCAACGAGCGCAACCCCCGUACCAUUAGUUGCCAUCAGGUUAUGCUGGGCACUCUAAUGGGACUGCCUACGCAAGUAGUGAGGAAGGUGGGGAUGACGUCAAGUCAGCAUGGCCCUUACGUCUAGGGCUACACACGUGCUACAAUGGGUACUACAACGGGUUG